ACAUCCCCAGUUGCCAUCAUUUAGUUGGGCACUCUGGGGAAACUGCCCGUGAUAAGCGGGAGGAAGGUGUGGAUGACGUCAAGUCCUCAUGGCCCUUACGGGUUGGGCUACACACGUGCUACAAUGGCAGUGACAAUGGGUUAAUCCCAAAAAGCUGUCUCAGUUCGGAUUGGGGUCUGCAACUCGACCCCAUGAAGNNNNAAUCGCUAGUAAUCGCGUAACAGCAUGACGCGGUGAAUACGUUCCCGGGCCUUGUACACACCGCCCGUCACACCAUGGGAGUUGGUUCUACCCGACGACGCUGCGCUAACCUUCGGGGGGCAGGCGGCCACGGUAGGAUCAGCGCCUGGGGUGAAGUCGUAACAAGGUAACA
rnacentral:rRNA from 1 species